rnacentral:rRNA from 1 species
UACGGAGGGGGCUAGCGUUGUUCGGAAUUACUGGGCGUAAAGCGCACGUAGGCGGCUUUGUAAGUUAGAGGUGAAAGCCCGGGGCUCAACUCCGGAAUUGCCUUUAAGACUGCAUCGCUAGAAUUGUGGAGAGGUAAGUGGAAUUCCGAGUGUAGAGGUGAAAUUCGUAGAUAUUCGCAAGAACACCGGUGGCGAAGGCGGCCAACUGGACCAUUACUGACGCUGAGGCGCGAAAGCGUGGGGAGCAAACAGGAUUAGAUAC